rnacentral:rRNA from 1 species
AGAGUUUGAUCCUGGCUCAGGAUGAAUGCUGGCGGCAUGCUUAACACAUGCAAGUCGAACGGGAAGUGGUGUUUCUAGUGGCGAACGAGUGAGUAACGCGUAAGAACUUGCCCUUGGGAGGGGAACAACUAGAGACAGUGGCUAAUACCCCGUAGGCUGAGGAGCAAAAAGGAGAAAUCCGCCGAGGGGCUCGCGUCUGAUUAGCUAGUUGGUGAGGUAAUUGCUUACCAAGGCGAUGAUCACUAGCUGGUCCGAGAGGAUGAUCAGCCACACGGGGACUGAGACACGGCCCAGACUCCUACGAGAGGCAGUUGUGGGGAAUUUUCUGCAAUGGACGAAAGCCUGAUGGAGCAAUGCCGCAUGGAGGUGGAAGGCCUAUGGGUCGCAACUUCUUUUCUCGGAGAAGAAAUGAUGACGGUAUCUGAAAAAUAAGCAUCGGCUAACUCUGUG